AAAUUUUGGAGCAAAUUUGGAUGCUCAGAAUGCAGGAAAUGACAUUUCCGGGAUUCAAAUUUCAAAAAUUUUCUGGGGGAGUACUCCCCCAGACCACCACCCCCAUUCAUGCGUGGUAUAUUGGCGAACCACGUAGCCUUCAGCCAUUGCUAUCCCCCUCUAAUAUAUUAUCUCACAGAAAAGUCCCUUUUCAAAAAAUGCCCCCCCCCAGGAAAAUCCUUAAAAAAGGCCCUGUAUGUUAGUCAUCGCGACAUGGCAUUUUAUAAUUUUUAUAUAUGUUAAUCACCG